rnacentral:lncRNA from 1 species
CUGGCCCAGAGGAGAGGCUGUGCUCACCCAGACAGCACAAUCCUUUUGCACACUGUUGCCAAGGGGCCUUCUAAAGCAGACUGAAGAUUGGCGGCACAAGGAGAAGCCCACGGGGCACUUAUGCAGGGAUCCAUCAAUUCCAGAUCACAACCUGGCUACUGUGUCUAUUUUCGCCUGAAGCAGGUGGGAGCUGCCUGCCGGCUGCACUUCUGGAGCAGCCGUCUGCUGAGGGAGCGGCGAGUCUGCGUGGAGUGCCAGGGGGAUGCUGUGGGCAGCCGGAGCCGAUGUGAAGGGGAUGGGCUGCAGGGAGCUAGGACAUUCUGGACUGCUGCCUCCAUCGCUGGGUGCCAAGGCUCAUGGGUCCAAGAGUCUUUGCAAGAAACCUGCACGUGUCCUCCAUUGUCCCUCUUAUUUGUGUAACCGUCUGACAACUUGGGUCAUGAACCUUAAAAGAGGAAGUGAGAGAGUGACACAUAUAAGCUGGCAACAUGGCGGUUUACGGCUUUCUGUCACUAGGACAUGCCGGAGGAUGAAGGAAAAGCCUCCUCUGAAUGAAGUUCUUGCUGCCCUUCUUACCUCAUUUCACUUUCUUUAUAAACCCACACUUUCUGUGAAACUGUUUUUUUCAUCACAAAGCUAUGUAUUAUUUCAAAGCACAAGAAUGUCUCAUUCUUUUAAACUUUAUACCUCUGAAACCUUGCUAUCUACCUCCAGCAUUGCAGAUAUUGAAGGCAACUCUUUUUCUGUGUUUCUCACUACUUUGCAGAUUUGUAAUAAAAGAAGAGAGAGAAGAAUAUUGCAAUAUCCUUCUUUUAAAAGAUUGUUUUUUUAAAUGCAAGGAAGAAGAAAAUUGCUAGUGCCACUGCACCAAAGGUAAUGAUGAAAUACAUGGGAAAGAGGUUAAAUCUGAGAGAGGAAGUGAUGUCAUGGUUACAUGGGAUAACAUGGACAUAGCGUCAUAGUUAGCGGUGGAGUCAUUUCUGAAAAAUGAGUCAUUGAACUGAUUUCCCAGGAGGAAAGUGGGAAUAAAAUAGGCAUGUUUAGUGUUAGCCA